rnacentral:rRNA from 1 species
UGCCAGCAGCCGCGGUAAUACGGAGGGGGCUAGCGUUGCUCGGAAUUACUGGGCGUAAAGGGCGCGUAGGCGGAUUUCCCAGUCAGGCGUGAAAGCCCCGGGCUCAACCCGGGAACUGCGUUUGAUACUAGAAAUCUUGAGUUCUGGAGAGGGUGGUGGAAUUCCCAGUGUAGAGGUGAAAUUCGUAGAUAUUGGGAAGAACACCGGUGGCGAAGGCGGCCACCUGGCCAGAUACUGACGCUAAGGCGCGAAAGCGUGGGGAGCAAACAGGAUUAGAUA